rnacentral:tRNA from 1 species
GCCGCUGUAGCUCAGUGGUAGAGCGCACCCUUGGUAAGGGUGAGGUCGAGAGUUCAACUCUCUCUAGCGGCU